GAUGAACGCUAGCGGGAGGCUUAAUACAUGCAAGUCGAACGGUAAGGUCACUGCUUGCAGUGAUACACGAGUGGCGCACGGGUGAGUAACGCGUACACUACCUACCUAUAAGAGAUGGAUAGCCCUGGGAAACUGGGAUUAAUACAUCAUAGUAUUGUGAUUUAUAAUUACAAUUAAAGCUACGGCGCUUAUAGAUGGGUGUGCGUUCUAUUAGCUAGUUGGUAAGGUAACGGCUUACCAAGGCUACGAUAGAUAGGGGGCGUGAGAGCGUGGACCCCCACACGGGUACUGAGACACGGACCCGACUCCUACGGGAGGCAGCAGUAAGGAAUAUUGGACAAUGGGGGCAACCCUGAUCCAGCCAUCCCGCGUGCAGGAAGAAUGCCCUAUGGGUUGUAAACUGCUUUUGGAAGGGACGAAAAUGACGGUACCUACAGAAGAAGCUCCGGCCAACUACG
rnacentral:rRNA from 1 species